rnacentral:rRNA from 1 species
CCUACGGGAGGCAGCAGUGGGGAAUAUUGGGCAAUGGAGGAAACUCUGACCCAGCGACGCCGCGUGCGGGAUGAAGGCCUUCGGGUUGUAAACCGCUUUCAGUAGGGAAGAAGCGAAAGUGACGGUACCUACAAAAGAAGCACCGGCUAACUAUGUGCCAGCAGCCGCGGUAAUACAUAGGGUGCAAGCGUUGUCCGGAAUUAUUGGGCGUAAAGAGCUCGUAGGUCGUUUGUUACGUCGGAUGUGAAAACCUGAGGCUCAACCUCAGGCCUGCAUUCGAUACGGGCAAACUAGAGUUUGGUAGGGGAGACUGGAAUUCCUGGUGUAGCGGUGGAAUGCGCAGAUAUCAGGAGGAACACCAAUGGCGAAGGCAGGUCUCUGGGCCAAUACUGACACUGAGGAGCGAAAGUCUGGGGAGCGAACAGGAUUAGAUACCCUGGUAGUCCAGACCGUAAACGGUGGGCACUAGUUGUGGGAACCUUCCACGGUUUCUGCGACGCAGCUACGCAUUAAGUGCCCGCCGUCGGGAGGUACGAGCGCGAGAGUAAACUACAANAGAAGUUAAGUACGGCGUUGAGACGUUGCCGAACGGCGACCGACGAGGGGAGGUUAGG